AUUAAGGUGAAACCGCGAAUGGCUCAUUACAUCAGUUAUGGUUCCUUAGAUCGUACCCACAUUACUUGGAUAACUGUGGUAAUUCUAGAGCUAAUACAUGCAAAUAGAGUUCCGACCAGAGAUGGAAGGAAUGCUUUUAUUAGAUCAAAACCAAUCGGUGGCGGGCUUGCCUUGCUCACCGUUUGACUUGGUGACUCUGAAUAACUUUGUGCUGAUCGCACGGUCUCGUACCGGCGACGCAUCUUUCAAAUGUCUGCCUUAUCAACUGUCGAUGGUAGUUUCUGCGACUACCAUGGUUGUUACGGGUAACGGGGAAUCAGGGUUCGAUUCCGGAGAGGGAGCCUGAGAAACGGCUACCACAUCCAAGGAAGGCAGCAGGCGCGCAAAUUACCCACUCCCGGCACGGGGAGGUAGUGACGAAAAAUAACGAUACGGGACUCAUCCGAGGCCCCGUAAUCGGAAUGAGUACACUUUAAAUACUUUCACGAUUAACAAUUGGAGGGCAAGCCUGGUGCCAGCAGCCGCGGUAACUCCAGCUCCAAUAGCGUAUAUUAAAGUUGUUGCGGUUAAAAAGCUCGUAGUUGAAUCUGUGUCCCACACUGUCGGUUCACCGCUCGCGGUGUUCAACUGGCAUGUCUGUGGGACGUCCUGCCGGUGGGCGCAGCCCGUCAAAAGGCGGCCCAACUCAAAAUCCUACCACGGUGCUCUUCACCGAGUGUCGAGG
rnacentral:rRNA from 1 species